rnacentral:rRNA from 1 species
CCGGCGCACGGGUGAGUAACGCGUGUGCAACCUGCCCGGCACAGUGGGAUAAUCCGGAGAAAUCCGGUCUAAUACCGCAUGACGCGGGAAGGGCGCAUGCCUUUUCCGCCAAAGGAGGCGUCCGGUGCCGGCUGGGCACGCGUGACAUUAGCUAGUUGGCGGGGCGACGGCCCACCAAGGCGACGAUGUCUAGGGGUUCUGAGAGGAAGGUCCCCCACACUGGUACUGAGACACGGACCAGACUCCUACGGAAGGCAGCAG